UUUUAACAGAUCCAUUUAAGUGAUUUUACUAUUGUUUGUUUUUCUCAUUAUUUAGCGGAUUACUUGCUGUAAUUAGCAAACACAGUCAAUUAAGACAGGGCAAGUCCAUCUUGAUUAGCUUUGCUUAGAGAGAUUUCCUGGGCAAGGAUGAAGGGUGCGUAGUGAGAAUAACCACAUAUGGUGCAUUAUUUAAACUGAUAAAAUACGCAUACAUAAUGACAAAAAAAAACGCUUAUCUAAGAGGAACAGUUGGCCGAGUGGCUGGAGCCUUGUGCCUUGUGCCUUGUGCUACGGUGCCGCACGCCAUCUGUUCAAUACCCGGCGGAUUACUUGCUGUAAUUAGCAAACACAGUCAAUUAAGACAGGGAAAGUCCAUCUUGAUUAGCUUUGCUUAGAGAGAUUUCCUGGGCAAGGAAGAAGAGUGCGUAGUGAGAAUAACGACAUAUGGUGCAUUAUUUAAACUGAUAAAAUACGCAUACAUAAUGACAAAAAAUACGCUUAUGUAAGAGGAACAGUUGGCCGAGUGGCUGGAGCCUUGUGCCUUGUGCCUUGUGCUACGGUGCCGCACGCCAUCUGUUCAAUACCCGGCGGAUUACUUGCUGUAAUUAGCAAACACAGUCAAUUAAGACAGGGCAAGUCCAUCUUGAUUAGCUUUGCUUAGAGAGAUUUCCUGGGCAAGGAAGAAGAGUGCGUAGUGAGAAUAACCACAUAUGGUGCAUUAUUUAAACUGAUAAAAUACGCAUACAUAAUGACAAAAAAUACGCUUAUGUAAGAGGAACAGUUGGCCGAGUGGCUGGAGCCUUGUGCCUUGUGCCUUGUGCUACGGUGCCGCACGCCAUCUGUUCAAUACCCGGGUAAGACUUUUUUUAUUUUUUAUUUUUAACGAAGUUUUAUGAAGUAGGAAAAUAUUAUAUACAAGAUUUAGUAAGUUUAAUUUAAAAAAUUUCUAUUCUAAACGCAAUUUUUUUUGUGAGAGUUUUAACAGAUCCAUUUAAGUGAUUUUACUAUUGUUUGUUUUUCUCAUUAUUUAGCGGAUUACUUGCUGUAAUUAGCAAACACAGUCAAUUAAGACAGGGCAAGUCCAUCUUGAUUAGCUUUGCUUAGAGAGAUUUCCUGGGCAAGGAAGAAGAGUGCGUAGUGAGAAUAACCACAUAUGGUGCAUUAUUUAAACUGAUAAAAUACGCAUACAUAAUGACAAAAAAAACGCUUAUCUAAGAGGAACAGUUGGCCGAGUGGCUGGAGCCUUGUGCCUUGUGCCUUGUGCUACGGUGCCGCACGCCAUCUGUUCAAUACCCGGCGGAUUACUUGCUGUAAUUAGCAAACACAGUCAAUUAAGACAGGGCAAGUCCAUCUUGAUUAGCUUUGCUUAGAGAGAUUUCCUGGGCAAGGAAGAAGAGUGCGUAGUGAGAAUAACCACAUAUGGUGCAUUAUUUAAACUGAUAAAAUACGCAUACAUAAUGACAAAAAAAACGCUUAUCUAAGAGGAACAGUUGGCCGAGUGGCUGGAGCCUUGUGCCUUGUGCCUUGUGCUACGGUGCCGCACGCCAUCUGUUCAAUACCCGGGUAAGACUUUUUUUAUUUUUUAUUUUUAACGAAGUUUUAUGAAGUAGGAAAAUAUUAUAUACAAGAUUUAGUAAGUUUAAUUAAAAAAAUUUCUAUUCUAAACGCAAAUUUUUUUUGUGAGAGUUUUAACAGAUCCAUUUAAGUGAUUUUACUAUUGUUUGUUUUUCUCAUUAUUUAGCGGAUUACUUGCUGUAAUUAGCAAACACAGUCAAUUAAGACAGGGAAAGUCACUCUUGAUUAGC